CCCCUAGUAACUGCGAGUGAAGCGGGAAAAGCUCAAAUUUAAAAUCUGGCGGUCUUCGGCCGUCCGAGUUGUAGUCUGGAGAAGUGCUUUCCGUGCUGGACCGUGUACAAGUCUCUUGGAACAGAGCGUCAUAGAGGGUGAGAAUCCCGUCUUUGACACGGACUACCAGUGCUUUGUGAUGCGCUCUCAAAGAGUCGAGUUGUUUGGGAAUGCAGCUCAAAAUGGGUGGUAAAUUCCAUCUAAAGCUAAAUAUUGGCGAGAGACCGAUAGCGAACAAGUACCGUGAGGGAAAGAUGAAAAGCACUUUGGAAAGAGAGUUAAACAGUACGUGAAAUUGCUGAAAGGGAAACGAUUGAAGUCAGUCGCGUCGGCCAGGACUCAGCCUUGCUUUUGCUUGGUGCAUUUUCUGGUUGACGGGCCAGCAUCGAUUUUGAUCGCCGGAAAAAGGUUGGGGGAAUGUGGCACCUUCGGGUGUGUUAUAGCCCUCAGUCACAUACGGCGAUUGGGAUCGAGGACCGCAGCACGCCUUUAUGGCCGGGGUUCGCCCACGUUCGUGCUUAGGAUGCUGGCGUAAUGGCUUUAAACGACCCGUCUUGAAACACGGACCAAGGAGUCUAACAUGCCUGCGAGUGUUUGGGUGGAAAACCCGAGCGCGUAAUGAAAGUGAAAGUUGAGAUCCCUGUCGCGGGGAGCAUCGACGCCCGGACUUGAACCUCGGUGAUAGAUCUGCGGUAGAGCAUGUAUGUUGGGACCCGAAAGAUGGUGAACUAUGCCUGAAUAGGGUGAAGCCAGAGGAAACUCUGGUGGAGGCUCGUAGCGAUUCUGACGUGCAAAUCGAUCGUCAAAUUUGGGUAUAGGGGCGAAAGACUAAUCGAACCAUC
rnacentral:rRNA from 1 species